CGUCGGUGAUGAUUUAUGAAUAAGAGUAGUGGACAGAAGUUAUUUCUGAGAGACAUGACUCUGAGACC